UCCUUUGAUUUCUUCUUCAAUAUCCCACCAAAACACAAAGUGUAUAACAUGAAAUUGAUUGUAAACUAUCCAACAAAUCCUUUCCAACUAUCAAUUUGAGCUUUUGUUGAGAGUUUAGAGAGUUCUUUCUUCUCUCAAAUUCGUGUUACUAUUCAUCAAAGGAAGAAAGUGGAGCUUUUCAUGGAGCUUUGCUUGAUGGAUGUCUUCUAGGCUUUGGGUAGUUGUUUAGAGGUGCGCCUAGGGACUAAAAAGGAUCGGAAUCUCUUGAAGACAUAUAAGUAACUUGUACAACAAGUAAGCGUAUUGGUAAAGCUUCAAGAGACAGAUGGGGAAGUUUCAGCUACACCCACUUGAAUCAUCAAAAUUGUAAACUUAGGACAUGCAGCGUAUAAUGUGUAAGUGGAAGCUCUUGGUUCAUUGAAUUCAAUGAAUUCGACUGCAUGUGUUUACAAAUAGCAACAUAGGCUAUUGUAGCAUGGUCCAUAAAUUUGGCUCUAUACUUAAAUUUUUGUACUAAUUUAGAGAUGAAAAGGAAAUUUCAAAGCUAGCAUCUUAAUAAUGGUGUAUGAUAACAGAUGAUUUAUGGUAAAAGGAAGAUCAAUGAGCCAAAAGAUGCUGAAU